AGGAACCGGUCAGUCGCCAACC
rnacentral:miRNA from 1 species